AGAGUUUGAUCCUGGCUCAGGAUGAACGCUAGCGGCAGGCCUAAUACAUGCAAGUCGAACGGCAGCGGGAGUAGCAAUACUUGCCGGCGAGUGGCGCACGGGUGCGUAACGCGUAUGCAAUCUACCUAUAACUGGGGAAUAGCCUUCCGAAAGGAAGAUUAAUACCGCAUAAAAUCACGAAGUGGCAUCAUUUUGUGAUCAAAACUCCGGUGGUUAUAGAUGAGCAUGCGUGACAUUAGCUAGUUGGUGAGGUAACGGCUCACCAAGGCGACGAUGUCUAGGGGGUCUGAGAGGAUGAUCCCCCACACUGGUACUGAGACACGGACCAGACUCCUACGGGAGGCAGCAGUAAGGAAUAUUGGACAAUGGCCGCAAGGCUGAUCCAGCCAUGCCGCGUGCAGGAAGAAGGUGCUAUGCAUUGUAAACUGCUUUUGUCCCGGAAUAAACCCCUCUACGUGUAGGGGGCUGAAUGUACGGGAAGAAUAAGGGACGGCUAACUUCGUGCCAGCAGCCGCGGUAAUAC
rnacentral:rRNA from 1 species